UACGUAGGGUGCAAGCGUUGUCCGGAAUUAUUGGGCGUAAAGAGCUCGUAGGCGGUCUGUCGCGUCUGCUGUGAAAACUCAGGGCUUAACCCUGAGCUUGCAGUGGGUACGGGCAGACUAGAGUGCGGUAGGGGAGACUGGAAUUCCUGGUGUAGCGGUGGAAUGCGCAGAUAUCAGGAGGAACACCGAUGGCGAAGGCAGGUCACUGGGCCGCAACUGACGCUGGGGAGCGAAAGCAUGGGGAGCGAACGGG
rnacentral:rRNA from 1 species